rnacentral:rRNA from 1 species
AACGAACGCUGGCGGCAUGCCUAACACAUGCAAGUCGAACGGAAAGUCCGUGCUUUUUUGUGGUGCUCGAGUGGCGAACGGGUGAGUAACCCGUGAGUAAGCUGCCCUUGACUUUAGGAUAUCCUCAGAAAAGUGGUGCUAAUACCGGCUAGGAGCUCUUGCUGCAUGGUGGGCGUUGGAAAGUUUCGGUGGUUGGGGAUGUACGCGCGGCUUACCAGCUUGUUGGUUGGGUAGUGGCCUACGAAGGCUUGGACGGGUGGCCGACCUGGGAGGGUGGACGGAGACAUUAGUACUGAGAUAGGGCGCAGUCUGGUAUGGUAGGCAGCAGUGGAGAAUAUUGUACAAUGGGCGGAAGCAUGAUGCGAAGACGCCGCGUGGGGGAAGAAGGCCUGGGGGUUGUGAAGCGCAGUCGCUUGUGACGAAGCGUGAGUGACGGUACUGGGUGAAGAAGCACCGGCUAACUACGUG